rnacentral:ncRNA from 2 species
CUCUGACCACACGGGAGCCCCGAAGCAGGGGCUGAGACAUGGGCUGAAGCUGCCCUGGACCGUUGAACCUGUCCGGGUAAUGCCGGCGAAGGAAGUGAGUUUCACCCAUGA